UGUCCAGUUGCUCAUAAUUGUCCGUAACCGGGGACACGGCUAAGUACUUAGUUUGACACUCUCGAGAGGGCGCCUUCCAAACGAGGAAGAAGCCCCCUGACAGGUGGGCCCCACCUGUCAGCGGGGGCGGGCGCGCGCGGGGGGCGGCCGGGCCGGCUGGGCCGGCUCGCGUGCGGUCGGGCGCGGUUGGACUGGGCCGGUUCGGCCUAAAGUGGCUGGGACGGUCCGUUUGCCCCCCUUUUGUUUUACCUUUUUUUUUUUCUGUUUUUCUUAUUCCUUUGAUAUCUUUUGAUUUUGAACUUCAAAUUGGUCCAAAUAAAUCCCGGAAAAUUUGUAAAAUCAUGUUCUACCAUGAUACAACUUUUGGAAAUAGUUUCUCUUCAAAAUAAAAUAUAUAAAAAUACAUUUGCGCUAUAAAUGCCUUUAGGGUCAUAUAUCUAUUUAAAUAAAAUACUUUUUCAACUCCAAAUAAUUAUCCAAAAAUUAUGAGAUAGCUUAUAUAUGCACUAAACCCCUUUUAUGCAUAAAACCUAUUGGUUUGAAAAUCCAAAACUCAAAUGGGUGUAAACCCUAGGGUUCAAAAUGAAACAAAGUCUUUUAAAGCCCUUUUGAGAUUCAAAAUUUUAAUUCAAAUAUGCAAUUGUGGCAUGAUGCUCAUGGAUGCAAUGCACAUGUAAAAGUUUGAAAUUUUUGGGAUGUUACAGACCUAACCCCCUUAAGAUGAAUCUCGUCCUCGAGAUUCGGUGUGGCUAGCAAAGAGGUGUGGGUGGUCUUCUGGAAGAUCAUCUUCGCAUUCCCAAGUGGCUUCUUCUUCUAUAUGAUGGUCCCACUGGACUUUGCAAAACUUGAUGGUCUUGGAUCGGGUCUGUCUCUCAGCUGUAUCCAAGAUCCUGAUCGGUUUCUCCUCAUAGGUGAGGUCACUCUGUAACUGGACUUCCUCAAGUGGAAUUGUAUCCCUCAGGGGUGUGUCGGCCAUCUCGAGGUGACACUUCUUCAAUUGUGAUACGUGGAAGACAUUGUGGACAUUAGACAGUGCUUCCGGCAAAUCAGUCUUGUAGGCUACCUCUCCU
rnacentral:lncRNA from 1 species